rnacentral:rRNA from 1 species
AUUGAACGCUGGCGGCAGGCCUAACACAUGCAAGUCGAACGAGUGGCGGACGGGUGAGUAAUGUCUGGGAAACUGCCCGAUGGAGGGGGAUAACUACUGGAAACGGUAGCUAAUACCGCAUACCAUCGGAUGUGCCCAGAUGGGAUUAGCUUGUAGGUGAGGUAACGGCUCACCUAGGCGACGAUCCCUAGCUGGUCUGAGAGGAUGACCAGCCACACUGGAACGUAGCCACGGUCCAGACUCCUCCGGGAGGCAGCGGGGGGGAAUAUGGCACAAUGGGCUCAAGCCGGAUGCAGCCCGGCGGCGUGUAUGAAGAAGGCCUUCGGGUUGUAAAGUACUUUCAGCGGGUAUGAGUUACCCGCAGAAGAAGCACCGGCUAACUCCGUGCCAGCCGCCGCGGUAAUAC